rnacentral:lncRNA from 1 species
CUACAUUUAUCUUUGAGUAAAAGAAAAGGGUAGAGUUUUUUCACACUGUCCCUUAAGAAAGUAACAUUUGUUAUAAGGAUUUCAAAACCAAUUCCCAUUUUCCUCAUUUGAAAUGUAUGAGGCAAGUUUUUUCUUCCCCUUGUAUUUAAACAUUGAGAUUUGUUUUUAAAAUUGGACACCUUUUUCAAAUCUCAACAUAUCUGAUACAACAUUUAACUUUCAUCUAAUGCAGCAUCAAGCCAAGAAUAUUUUUAGAACAUCUAAUGGAUAUGCCAAGGAAUACCAAGAUAAAAAGCACAGUCUCUGCCCUUGGGCUAAUAGUGUAGUGGGACAUUUUAGAGUUAUUUGUACAACUCUAAAUUGAAUGUGUUCUACUUAAACUUUGUCUCCACUGCCAAAUAUCAAAUAAUUGAAAAAGAGAGCCAUACCACUGGUUCAUAAAAUAGAGAGUAUGUAUCUGUGCAGGUCUUUUAAUGUCAUAAUGUCAUCCCAGGAUCCAGGGAGCACCUGUGCACUGUCAGGAAUUUCCUUGUUUAUUUCCAAUUAUUUUGCUCAUUCAGCAAAGAGAGAGUAUGUGUGUUCAAGUAAACUGACAUUUGAUAAUAUUGGUAAAGCAAGUGGAUCAACAGAUGAGACCUGCAGUUGGUAGCAAAUCUAUUUCUUCAGUAAGAAAUUCAUCUAAGAUUCAUAUGCUUUUUGGAGUCCCUCUCUCUCCAGUUUCCAAUUAAUCAUAAGAUUCACAGUAGGUCUAAAAUAGGCACACAGAGAAUAACAAGAGGUAAAUUUAAUUUUGAGUUGAGGGUACUAAAGGACAUCUGAAGAGAGGCCUGGAGUUUAAGUUGGGAUCCUGUGGCCCACUGAGACCAUUUCUGAGCGAUGGGCUUGGCUCCUGUCACUGCCUUCUAACAUGCUGUAUUAGAGAAAAACAGCAACACUUGACCACAGCCUGAGAGACAACUUGAUUCAUUCAAAGGAAAAUUAAAGACUUGAUAGAUGCAGCAAUAAACAACAAAACUCAUCACCAGUUACCUUACUGCAGUUGAAUCUGUAGGCAGACGUUGUUGGUGACUCGCUCAGGCGACUGCAGUCUUCCUGCUGUGCACAAGGAAGGAAGUGCACCCUGACCAAGCUGAUCCUCCUGAGGUGCCUGGGCUUCCGUCGAAAUAGAGCACCUACAUGUGUGUGAGGAGUCCCAGUUCUCUCUGUGAGUCACACCCAUUGUGACGUUGAUGGAUGACUAAGUCUCUUUCAAUGGAUGAGGGAAGCCAAGAAGAUGUAGGUCACGUGUUUCCAAAAGAACCAGAGUAUUCUUGAUAAAUUAAAUAUUGCUGCUUAUAGAAAGAAUCUUACAAAAAAAAAAAAAAAAAAAAAAAGACUGGUACUAUUCUCUUCCCUGGGACCAAAUACUGUAGCUGAAAUAAUGUGACAAGGAAGCAUUGUGUAAUCUGCCUGGUAUAUUGUGUUAAUAAUUUAAUUUUUAAAUUAUGAUUAUUGUUCUUGAUUGAGGUGUUUUCCUUCCUGUUAGCAUGCUUUUGACUAUAUAGUAUUCCUGUCCUCCUAACAGAGUAAGUUGGAGCAAUCAGUCUCUAGUGAUUUUAUUUUAUUUUUUU